rnacentral:lncRNA from 1 species
GUGGUGAAAGAGAUUCCAGGCAGAGGGAAGGGCAAGGCAAAUACCACAAGGAAGGAAUAUGCCUGGCUUGUCUGAGGAUAGUUGGGAAUGCUGUGUGGCUGGGGUGGAAUGAGCGAGGGAGAGAGUCAAAGAUAAGCCUGGGGAUGUGAGCUGACUUGUCAGUCAUUUAAGGAUUUUGGCUUCUACUCUGGGGAGAAUGAAGUGCCAGUGGAGGGCUUUGAGCAGAGGAGGGACGUCAUCUGACUUGCUCUGUCUGUUAAGCUGCACAUCAACUAAAGCGACAAAGGGAAGAGUCAGGCCAGGUGGUUAGCAGUGGAGAUGGUGACAAGUGGUCAGAUUUUAGAUAUGUUUUUGCAGGUAGAACCAGGGCUGGCUUCAUGGGCAUGUGACCUGCGAUGUCACACAGGGUCCCUUGCCCAGAAAGACCCCAUGCCUGGUUUUAUGUUCCGCUGUCGCCAUCUUGAAAUUCUUAAGAACCUUCGGACAGGGGCCCUGCAUUUCCAUUUUGCACGGUACCCAGUCCUGGAUAGAAUGGACAGGAUUUGUUGACAGAUUGGAUGUUGGGUACAAGAAAGAGAGAGAACGAGAGAGAGAGGUGUUAGAGAUAACGCCAAGGCUUUUGGCCUCAGCAAUUGAUGCUGGAGUUGCCUUGUGUGAGGUGAGGAAAAAUGCAGGACUAAGGAAAUGAGGGGCUUUCAGAGAGAGGGACUUUUCUAGAACCUGGGGUCGCUUGGGAACUAUACUGGGGCCCUCUUUGGGGAGAAUUUUGUCCCCUCAGGUUUCCAGCAGGGAGAUGUCGCCAUCCCAGUCUGACUCUGGCAUAACAGCAGCAGCCACAACAGCUGUGUCCUCCUUGGGGACAAUGGUCUGACCUCAGAGGGACCGCGCAUGCAAACUGACUUAUUUUUAGAAUUUCCCAUUUCUCCUCAACAGCAACUGGAAUGUCUGGAUGAAAAAUUCUGCGGCUGGAAGUGAAGGGCUGAAUAAAAACCUUUAAUUAAGAGUUAAAGACUUUAAUCUGCCUCUAACUUGGUUUUCUUCCUAAAUCCUACAAUUUUCAAAAGAAAGAGAAAUCCAGAGAACACAAAAUGCCAUCCAACACAAAGCCACGAAGAUGUUGAGCCAAAACAAUUGUGGUCUCUUUGGCGAUGAAACGCUCUACUCUUCAGAUCGUUGCAGAGAAAACGUGUUUCUUCUCCCCAUCUGAACCGCGAGUUUUUCUCCAAGCUUGCCAGUUUUGCCGAGUCAGCACGAACAUAGUCCUUCUCUCUCUCCACCAACACUCCCACGGGCUGCUCCCUCAUCCACUUCUAUCCUCCUCUGCCCCCUUCCUCCCGGGUGUCCCGGAUGACCGUCUGACUAAAAUGAGGCUUCACUUCUUUUUUCGGCCAGUGAAAAACAAAGAGGAAAAAAAAAAAAAAAAGCGCGCGCACACUUCUUUUUUAAAGAUGCAAAUUUCCUACAAUUUUUUGCAAGGAGGCGGGCCCUCCUGACAGGAAGGAAGAGGGUUGCGCUGGAGACGCCCGAAGCCCGCCGUGAUUGAAAGGGAGAAAAAGCCCUUGAGUUUCUCAGAUGUAAAUAAUUUAAGGUUUGGAAGUGCUCACCUUUGGAUCCAUUGGAGCUUUGGGGAACUUGUGCAGUGGGGGAAAAAAAUUGCUGAGACAAGCGGGAGUGAAGCGAGCUGACUGGCCUGGACUGGAUUCAGCCGGGGGAGCAGCUGAGGAGCGCUUGGGGAGGAAACCAGCCAAUGGAGGGGAGGAUUGGGGCCCCCCAGGCACACAGAGCUGCCUGUGGAUGGGGACAUCCUCUCUCACGUGAGCUGAAAAUUCUCCUUGCUACAAAAAGGAUUGCAGAGGGAUGGGAAAGAACCUCUCCAAAUCAUUCCUGAGUGAUAAUAUGAGAACAUCCAGCCCGAAAGAAAAAUUUGGACCACUCAGUAAUUGCAGCUGCUUGAAGUAGAGAAGGAAAGUAUGUAUCACGAGACAGCUGAUGAUGAGUUCCUACCUCAAUUUGAGUGCCUGGAUAUUCUGAGGACAACUUCCAGCUGGGGAGACUGAGGGAGGUCUUCAUGAAGGAGGUGUCUCAACAAAGUGGUAGGAUGAAAAAAUUUGGAGCUUUUUAUUGAUUGCUGAGCAGAAUACAAAGAAAGAAGACAAGAUCUCUGCCAGUUCACUGAUUCCUCUGUGGGACUGGCUCUUAGUAAGCUGCACGUUUGCAUGGCUCCAGAUACUUACCUCUGUGUUCGUGUGACCCUCACCCUAAUUCCCUAGUGGUGAUGGAUAGCUGGAAUUGCGAUUCCCCUCUUACAACUGCCUGACCAGAAGUGAGGAGACUUGUUACAGGUCUCACAGCUCACGAUUGCAGAGCCAGAGAGAAAAUCUGUGUCUCCCAACCUUGCUGCAAUUCAUUCUAAGUGCACAGGCUGGGACCCUGUGAGGCCUCCGUGAACAGCUUGGUAAAUCUUAGGAGGGACGGCUUGCUGCUGUAAUUAAGGUGUGGAUUAUAGGUUUCCACUCCUCUGGGAAGGAGGAAAAAGACAAAGCAAAACAAAACAAACUAACAGAAACGCCUCUAAGGCUCUUCUGCUUUGUGUAUUGACUUGAAGGUUUCAAAGUGUACUGAGGUUUCCAUGAGAUAUGGAUGGUCUCUGCCUUGUUUGAGUUUCUGGGAAUAUCAGGAAUAAAUUUGCUUUUUUUCCCACCAUUGUUGGAAUUCUUGUUGAAUUUCUUGUGUUUAGUUCUUCUGAAUACAACCCUCUUUAAUUUGCAGUGAGUAAAAUCCAUCCUUCCAUGUCAAUUUCCCCAAUAUUUCCUUCUCCAAAUAGUCCUAGACAUUUGGGCAAAUAAGUAAUGGAUUAUAUAUUCUGAGCUGUGUGGUCAGGGCUCAUCCUUGGAAUGACCAUGAAGCAUUUGCCCACAUUUGGUUUCUUCCUUUCCUUUUUCAUCUUCCCCUUCAAAUGCUCACUUCCUUUGUGUUUUCCUUCUUUUCCAUAUGUGAAUCGAUCUUUUAGCUCCAGGAAAGCAUUUAAAAGUAAAAUUGGAUAUUCAUUCAUUCAAUGGUAUUUACUGCAGGCCUGCCAUGUGCCAGGCACUUUGCUGUUUGUAUCAGCUUUCUAGUGGUGUGUAACAAAUUACCAUAAGCUUAGUGGCUUAAACAAACACACUUGUUAUUUCACAUGCUCUGGGGGUCAGGAAUCCAGGCACGGCUUAGCUGUGUCCUCCACGCAAGGUCUCAUCAGGCUGAAAUUUAGGUGUCUGGGGAUGCUAUCUCAUGUGAUGCUUGGUGUGCUCUUCCAAGCUCACUGGUUGGUGGCAGAAUUCAUUUCUUUGUGGUUGUGUGACUGAAAUCCUCUUUGGUAGUUGGCUGGGGACCAUUCUCAACUCCCAGAGGCCACCCUCAAGUCCUUGCCGUGUGGCCUCUUUCUCUCAGAACAUGAGAGCUAACUUCUUCAAGACACUGGGCAAGAAUCUGCUGCUGCUGCUUAUCUCUCUGACUUCAUUUAAGGACUCACCUGAUUAGGCCAGCCCACCCAGGAUAAUCUCCCUUUUGAUUAAGACAAAGUCUACUGAAUAAGAACUUUAAUUAUAUCUACAAAAUGUCUUCAUCUUUCCCAUAUUUGUAACCUUAUCAUAUUAUACAGGGUGUGUAUCCCAGGGGUCAGGAAUCUUGGGGGCCAUCCUAGAAUUCUACCUACUAAAGUUAUGCAAUAGAGAUACAACUGUGAGUAAAACAUGCCUGUUCCCAGCCCUAUAACAUUUAUAUUAAGUGGGAGAGCCAGUAAAUAAUAAAUAUAUAUUUUUAAUUUGUGAUAAGUUCUAUGAAAGAAAUAAACAGAUUGAUAUGAAAAGUACUAUGCACAGAUGACAUUUAGAUGGGAUAACGUUGAUACAAAGCAAUAUGAAGGCUGAAAAGGAACAGUCAUAUAGAGAUGUGGAGAAAGAGCAUUCCAUCCAGGCUGACCAGCAAGUUCAAAAGCAUGGGGGUCAGAAAGACCUGUUCGUUUUUGAAGAGCAGAAAGGAGGCUGGUGUGCUGGGAGGAGAGUGAAGGAGGAAAUGAGGUCUGAGCGGUAGGCAGGGGCCAGAUUAAGCAGGCACUCAGAAGCCAUGGUAAAAAGUUUUGGAGAUGGGAAGCCAAAAGUAAUUUUAAUCAGUGGAGAAAUAUGAUCUGAUUUGUUUUAAGAUCUGG